rnacentral:rRNA from 1 species
CCGAGCGGUAGAGAUCUUUCGGGAUCUUGAGAGCGGCGUACGGGUGCGGAACACGUGUGCAACCUGCCUUUAUCUGGGGGAUAGCCUUUCGAAAGGAAGAUUAAUACCCCAUAAUAUACUGAAUGGCAUCAUUCGGUAUUGAAAACUCCGGUGGAUAGAGAUGGGCACGCGCAAGAUUAGAUAGUUGGUGAGGUAACGGCUCACCAAGUCUACGAUCUUUAGGGGGCCUGAGAGGGUGAUCCCCCACACUGGUACUGAGACACGGACCAGACUCCUACGGGAGGCAGCAGUGAGGAAUAUUGGACAAUGGGUGAGAGCCUGAUCCAGCCAUCCCGCGUGAAGGACGACGGCCCUAUGGGUUGUAAACUUCUUUUGUAUAGGGAUAAACCUACCCUCGUGAGGGUAGCUGAAGGUACUAUACGAAUAAGCACCGGCUAACUCCGUGCCAGCAGCCGCGGUAAUACGGAGGGUGCAAGCGUUAUCCGGAUUUAUUGGGUUUAAAGGGUCCGUAGGCGGAUCUGUAAGUCAGUGGUGAAAUCUCACAGCUUAACUGUGAAACUGCCAUUGAUACUGCAGGUCUUGAGUGUUGUUGAAGUAGCUGGAAUAAGUAGUGUAGCGGUGAAAUGCAUAGAUAUUACUUAGAACACCAAUUGCGAAGGCAGGUUACUAAGCAACAACUGACGCUGAUGGACGAAAGCGUGGGGAGCGAACAGGAUUAGAUACCCUGGUAGUCCACGCCGUAAACGAUGCUAACUCGUUUUUGGAGCGUAAGCUUCAGAGACUAAGCGAAAGUGAUAAGUUAGCCACCUGGGGAGUACGAACGCAAGUUUGAAACUCAAAGGAAUUGACGGGGGCCCGCACAAGCGGUGGAUUAUGUGGUUUAAUUCGAUGAUACGCGAGGAACCUUACCAAGGCUUAAAUGGGAAAUGACAGGUUUAGAAAUAGACUUUUCUUCGGACAUUUUUCAAGGUGCUGCAUGGUUGUCGUCAGCUCGUGCCGUGAGGUGUUAGGUUAAGUCCUGCAACGAGCGCAACCCCUGUCACUAGUUGCCAUCAUUAAGUUGGGGACUCUAGUGAGACUGCCUACGCAAGUAGAGAGGAAGGUGGGGAUGACGUCAAAUCAUCACGGCCCUUACGCCUUGGGCCACACACGUAAUACAAUGGCCGGUACAGAGGGCAGCUACACUGCGAAGUGAUGCAAAUCUCGAAAGCCGGUCUCAGUUCGGAUUGGAGUCUGCAACUCGACUCUAUGAAGCUGGAAUCGCUAGUAAUCGCGCAUCAGCCAUGGCGCGGUGAAUACGUUCCCGGG